rnacentral:rRNA from 1 species
GUAGUCCACGCUGUAAACGAUGUCGAUUUGGAGGUUGUGCCCUUGAGGCGUGGCUUCCGGAGCUAACGCGUUAAAUCGACCGCCUGGGGAGUACGGCCGCAAGGUUAAAACUCAAAUGAAUUGACGGGGGCCCGCACAAGCGGUGGAGCAUGUGGUUUAAUUCGAUGCAACGCGAAGAACCUUACCUACUCUUGACAUCCAGAGAACUUUCCAGAGAUGGAUUGGUGCCUUCGGGAACUCUGAGACAGGUGCUGCAUGGCUGUCGUCAGCUCGUGUUGUGAAAUGUUGGGUUAAGUCCCGCAACGAGCGCAACCCUUAUCCUUUGUUGCCAGCGGUUCGGCCGGGAACUC